AACGCACCUUGCGCUCCUUGGUAUUCCGAGGAGCAUGCCUGUUUGAGUGUCAUGAAAUUCUCAAUCUAUAAAUCUUUGUGGUUUAUGGGAUUGGACUUGGAGGCUUGUCGGCCUUGUUGGUUGGCUCCUCUUAAAUGCAUUAGCUUGGUUCCUUGUGGAUCGGCUUUCGGUGUGAUAAUUGUCUGCGCCGUGGCUGUGAAGCGUUUGGCGAGCUUCUAAUCCGUCUCUUUUGGGACAAACUUAUUGACCUCUGACCUCAAAUCAGGUAGGACUACCCGCUGAACUUAA
rnacentral:misc_RNA from 1 species